rnacentral:rRNA from 1 species
UACGUAGGGUGCAAGCGUUAAUCGGAAUUACUGGGCGUAAAGCGUGCGCAGGCGGUGAUGUAAGCCAGAUGUGAAAUCCCCGGGCUUAACCUGGGAAUGGCAUUUGGGACUGCAAGGCUUGAGUGCGGCAGAGGAGACUGGAAUUCCCGGUGUAGCAGUGAAAUGCGUAGAUAUCGGGAGGAAUACCGAUGGCGAAGGCAGGUCUCUGGGCUGACACUGACGCUCAUGCACGAAAGCGUGGGGAGCAAACAGG